rnacentral:rRNA from 1 species
GAUGAACGCUGGCGGCGUGCCUAAUACAUGCAAGUCGAGCGAACGGACGAGAAGCUUGCUUUUCUGAUGUUAGCGGCGGACGGGUGAGUAACACGUGGAUAACCUACCUAUAAGACUGGGAUAACUUCGGGAAACCGGAGCUAAUACCGGAUAAUAUUUUGAACCGCAUGGUUCAAAAGUGAAAGACGGUCUUGCUGCCACUUAUAGAUGGAUCCGCGCUGCAUUAGCUAGUUGGUAAGGUAACGGCUUACCAAGGCAACGAUGCAUAGCCGACCUGAGAGGGUGAUCGGCCACACUGGAACUGAGACACGGUCCAGACUCCUACGGGAGGCAGCAGUAGGGAAUCUUCCGCAAUGGGCGAAAGCCUGACGGAGCAACGCCGCGUGAGUGAUGAAGGUCUUCGGAUCGUAAAACUCUGUUAUUAGGGAAGAACAUAUGUGUAAGUAACUGUGCACAUCUUGACGGUACCUAAUCAGAAAGCCACGGCUAACUACGUG